ACAAAGGAAAAAACUAAUACAUAUACACGGAGAUUUUGUGGAAGAAAAAAAUGGAUCAAACUUAAGCAAAAAACUGGGAAGGAUCUUGGUAAAAGAUAUGUCAGAAGGAAGUAAUAUUCUUUAAGAUAUUCUUAGAAAUUCAUCGGACAGGCGGGGUGUGGUGGUUCACGCCCAUAAUCCCUGUACUUUGGGAGGCAGAGGUGGGUGGAUCACUUGAGGUCAGGAGUUUGAGACCAGCCUGGUUAACAUGGUGAAACCCCGUCUCUACUAAAAAUACAAAAAUUAGCCGGGUGCGGUGGCAUACUCGGGAGGCUGAGGCAGGAGAAUCACCUGAACCUUGGAGACAUAGGUUGCAGUGAGCUGAGAUCAUACCGCUCCACUCCAGCCGGGCCACUGAGUGAGACUGUCUCAAAACAAACAAAUGAACAAACAAAAAGAAGAGAAACUCAUCAGACAAAGAGAGGAAAAAAAUGAGCAAAGGAAAUCAGCAGAUGUUUCAUUGAAGGACAGAGAGAAAUGGUCAAUACAUGGAUGAAAACAUGUUUAACUUCAGUAAUAAUCAAAUAAUAAUCCCUGUGUUCCUGGGCGAGUCAGUGCCAUGUGAGGUGUUGGCAGCCACUUUGGCUGAGCUGGACGGGUGCCUACAGCUGCUUGAGGACAAGUUCCUGUGGGACCAGGCCUUCCUUACUGGGUCCCAUAUCUCUGUGGCUGACUUGGUGGCAAUCAUGGAGCUGAUGCAUCCCAUCAGCGCUGGCUGCUGAGUCUUUGAAAGCAGACCCACAAUGGCAGCAUGGCGCCCAAUGUGUGGAGACUGCAGUGGGGGAGGACCUCUUCCAGGAGGCCCUCGCAGCUGUCCUGAAGGCCAAAGACCUGCCUCCAGUAGAACCUGCUGUUAAAGAGAAUCUGAAGCCCUUAAUGCAGCUUUUCUUACUGUGCGUGCGUGUCCCGGACUUGCUGAGCCACUGAGGUGAUGCUGUGUUAGUAGAAUCAAGACAUGGAGCGUCUGUCUCCUUGGUUGUAAAGAAGACAUACCUGCACAGGCUCUGGUCCACAGUUCCUCCAGGUAUCAUGCCUGCAUUCCUUUUGUCUCCUACCCCAUUCCUUUCUAGCUUCCAUGCGACCUCUGAAAACAGCUUUGGCCAACACUUAUUUGACCCUGUCCUUCUGUGUGGAACUUUCUAUGGUUCUUCACUGCCCAGAGGCUAAAGUACAAGUCAUUGAACUUUGCAUUCAAGGCCUUGUUCCCACUCCUCCAGGUGGCCCCUUCUGCCUGCACAUUUUUAUACCCCUCUCUGGGCUCCCACCUUGGCUUCUGCUCAUGCUGUUCCCUCAUCUUUGCCUGGUGCCCUUCCUGGUCUUUUGGCAUUUGGCACCGUCUCUUCUCCAAGGAGACUUCCCUGAACUCCCCAACCCCAGUUCAGGUCAGAUGACCUCUCUGGGCACCUCAGCCCCAGGGUUUCCUUGCGGGGGAUACCCCUGGACUGAGCAUGUAUCAUAGAUGAGGGGUGACCUGGUGAAAAGAUGUCUGAAUCAGGAUCAGCCUUGGUCUCCUAGGUCUCUCUCCUCACUGAAGGGCGAUGUGUCCCACAAGUGGGGUGCAGGGCUGGUUCGUGGACCUCCUUGCAGGAAGGGAAGUCCCUGGCGAUUUCCUGGCCCUCUCUCAUGCCUCCUCAUCACCUUGACCACAGUCUUCUCUACACCCCACUCCCUGACCACUGGCUUGUCCAUGCCCCACACCUGGUCCCAGACUUGCCACCUGUCCCUGCCCUCUUCCUUAGGACUGUCAUAUUUACCUGUCAUGUGUCUCAGACCUUCUGAUAUCUGAGUCAUCUAAUAAACUGCU
rnacentral:lncRNA from 1 species